rnacentral:rRNA from 1 species
GUGGCUUAAUUUGACUCAACGCGGGAAAUCUUACCGGGUCCGGACACACUGAGGAUUGACAGGCAAUAUAUGUGACUCUUCGGAGUUUGCAUUGUUAAAUAUGCUAGUCCUUUCAUGAUUAUGUGAUAGGUGGUGCAUGGCCGUUCUUAGUUCGUGGAGUGAUCUGUCUGCUUAAUUGCGUUUCAAAUUACUUAUAAGGUAGCAAUACGCGAUGAAGCUUUCAAUAGUCCUCACGGAUUCACUUGAGUCUCUCGCUUCGCUAUCCUUUCGAAUGCAACGAACGUGACCGCAACCUCUUGUUGCCUUCGUUUAACAUCCUGCAGCUCGCUGUGGGUACUGAGGGCUUCACUCGGUGACUUUGGGCUGAGCAAUCGGUCUUUUGAU